GGAAACCUUGUUACGACUUUUACUUCCUCUAAAUGACCAAGUUCGUACAACUUCUCAGCAGUCAGGUGCUCUCGCGAGCUCCCAAUAGCCAAUCCGGAGGCCUCACUAAGCCAUUCAAUCGGUAGUAGCGAC
rnacentral:rRNA from 1 species